rnacentral:lncRNA from 11 species
CCAUCAAGGCAACUCCUGCCUCCGCUGCUGUGCCUCUGCUCUGCAGAGCCCAGUGCCUUCCUCCCCAGAAGGAAGACGUCGGGCCGUUUGCAGAGUGAAACAGCACUUCUCCAGUCUGCAAAGCACCCAGCAGCUCCCUCUGGAGAAGGAGGAUGUUGGGCAGUUUGCAGACUGGGAAGCCCAGCACCUCCCCCCCACUUGGCUGCAACUUGCCUUGCAGCAGCCAAAGAGAAGGAAUCAGGCUCCACGUGGAGCUGGCUUGGGUCCCUUUGAUCCUUUUGCCUCCCCUGUAAAGCAAGCAGUGGGAUUGGGGGGAAAGGAAGAAGGGAGAAGGGGGAAAGGAGCGAGGGAGUGUGGGGAGAAGCCAAGCCACUGUGACCCACUCACUACCUUCCCAUUUUAAACACCGACCAAAUGGAUUCCAACAGAGGACUUCCCAUGAUGCAUAGCCACUUCUGGUGGCUGCCCAGCAUACAAAGAUGGAGAGAGGAGUCCAUUUUGAGGAGUUGGAUUUCCCCAACUUGUGAUUGAAGAAAGGGGUGUGAAACAUAGGACAGCUGGAAGAAGACGGUGAAACGUGGGAUGGCUAGCCAUCCCCGUAAAUAGAUCUUGCCAGGGUAAGUUGGGUCCCAACUCUUUCCUCCACUCCCCCAUCCCAUUU